rnacentral:lncRNA from 1 species
GGUAGUUCAAAACUUAUUGAAGGCUCCGGAAGAGCAAUUUAUUUAUUACUCUGUAGCUGGCCCAUUUUGCCCGGGGCCCAAAACCAGAAACAUAACCCAAAAACAAUUAAAACCAAAAUAAACUAAACAGUCCACAAUAUAUUAACGGCUCAAACACGACAAAAAUAUAGGCCCAAAAAUAAAAACUCUAACCCAAUUUCUUUAGCCCACAACCUUAACUUUCAGAAAAGAAAAAAAGGAGAAAAAGAAACCCUAGCCGUAUGCCUCUGCCACUACCGCCGUACGCCUCUGACAUCUCUGCCACCUGUAAAGAGGAACCAGCACGCAACGCCUGCAAAAUGAAAAGGAAAAAGUUGACAACAUAAAACAGUAGCAAAUAGUACAAAACAUAAUAAUAAUAAUAAUAAUAAUAAUAUAUUGUAUCAAUUUCAACUAUAAAAAGCCAUCACCAAGUCAAUGUAAUUCUUUACACACAAAAUCGAAUAAAAAAGAUCAGUAAGAUUUAAAAGAAAAGAACUAGGUAUUUUCCUUGGUUUCAAAUUCCAUUUUAUUUUUUAUUUUCGCAAAAUAUAUAUAUACUAAGAAAAAAGGGCCUUUACCUCUGUUCUAGCUAUUCAUCCUUCUGUUUUGAAAGC